UACGGAGGGGGCGAGCGUUAUUCGGAAUCAUUGGGCGUAAAGGGUGCGUAGGCGGCGGGGCAAGUCUGAUGUGAAAUCCCGGGGCUCAACCCCGGAACUGCAUUGGAUACUGCCUUGCUAGAGUACUGGAGAGGGAACUGGAAUUUACGGUGUAGCAGUGAAAUGCGUAGAGAUCGUAAGGAAGGCCAGUGGCGAAGGCGAGUUCCUGGACAGUUACUGACGCUGAGGCACGAAGGCCAGGGGAGCAAACGGG
rnacentral:rRNA from 1 species